rnacentral:rRNA from 1 species
CAGAUGGGAGCUUGCUCCCUGAUGUUAGCGGCGGACGGGUGAGUAACACGUGGGUAACCUGCCUGUAAGACUGGGAUAACUCCGGGAAACCGGGGCUAAUACCGGAUGGUUGUUUGAACCGCAUGGUUCAAACAUAAAAGGUGGCUUCGGCUACCACUUACAGAUGGACCCGCGGCGCAUUAGCUAGUUGGUGAGGUAACGGCUCACCAAGGCAACGAUGCGUAGCCGACCUGAGAGGGUGAUCGGCCACACUGGGACUGAGACACGGCCCAGACUCCUACGGGAGGCAGCAGUAGGGAAUCUUCCGCAAUGGACGAAAGUCUGACGGAGCAACGCCGCGUGAGUGAUGAAGGUUUUCGGAUCGUAAAGCUCUGUUGUUAGGGAAGAACAAGUACCGUUCGAAUAGGGCGGUACCUUGACGGUACCUAACCAGAAAGCCACGGCUAACUACGUGCCAGCAGCCGCGGUAAUACGUAGGUGGCAAGCGUUGUCCGGAAUUAUUGGGCGUAAAGGGCUCGCAGGCGGUUUCUUAAGUCUGAUGUGAAAGCCCCCGGCUCAACCGGGGAGGGUCAUUGGAAACUGGGGAACUUGAGUGCAGAAGAGGAGAGUGGAAUUCCACGUGUAGCGGUGAAAUGCGUAGAGAUGUGGAGGAACACCAGUGGCGAAGGCGACUCUCUGGUCUGUAACUGACGCUGAGGAGCGAAAGCGUGGGGAGCGAACA